rnacentral:lncRNA from 1 species
AAACAGACCACCCAGCCAGGUUGCAAACUGAGGGAAUUAAUUAGACCAUAUCUGUGUGUGUUCCUUCCAGCUCUGAUACUGAUCAUAAGAACUCAUUAACUCUCUUUUGCUAAAUUUGGCUUUAGUUCAUUUGUUUUUAUCCUUAUUGCAUAUAUGUGUUUAGAACAUUAAGUGGUGGAAGGCAUUAAUUCAAAAGAAUUAUUGAGUGCACAAGCUUUAUAUAUAAGAUUUUUUUUUUUUUUGGUACCAAGGAUUUCAACCCAGGGGCAGUGAGCCACAUCCUCAGUCCUUUUUAUAUUUUAUUUAGAGACAGGGUAUCCCUGAGUUGCUUAGGGCCUCACUAAGUUGCUGAGGCUGGCUUGAACUUGUGAUCCUUCUGCCUCAGCCUCCUGAGCUUCUGGGAUUACAGGCGUGUACCACCAUGCCCGGCCUAGAUGUAAGUUUUAACAUUAAUUAAUUAAUUAAUUCUUUUUGUGGUGCUGAGGCUGGAACCCAGGGCCUCAUGAAUGCUAAGCAAACACUUUACUACUGAGCCACAUCCCUAGCCCUGCCAGAUGUUUUUAUGUAUUUAUUUUAUUUUAGUAGGUGCUUUAGGCUAUAGAAAACAAUGUCACCCAUGGCCUCUCCCUUUUGGAGUUCAUAUUCUACCUAAGGAAAAGGUUUAUAUUAUACCUGGAAAAGUUAAACUCUGCUAAAAGAUGAAAUAAGACCAAGGACCUGGGGAGGAUGCUCUGGGGAGGAGGUGUGGCAAGCUUGGAUGGAAUAUAAAUGGACAAGAACCCAGGGACAGGGAUUCUAGUUUGGAGGCACAGGUGACUUCCUCUUUGCCACUUGGGUAAAAAGAAAUAAAGAAUAGAAGAAGAUUGGGAAAAAGUUAUGGGGAAUGGGACAUGAGGCAAAGAGGAGGGAAGAAAGAGGGAGGAGGGUGAGAGCCACACACUGGAGCAAUUGCAGCAACUCAGAGGUAGGGAAGAGAAGUUAAAAAAACUUUGAAGACAGCUGGGAAAGUGCUCAUUCUUCUCUCUCUUAAUCUUGUUGGACUAUAGAAGCAUAGGCUUUUGGGGACAGAAGAGACUUCUAGUUCAAACCCUCCCAUCAAAGCCCUAUAUGAUGAUUACCAGCAUUCUCUUGAGUACCUAGCAUGACGUGAGAUGUAUUACCUCCUAAAGUAGACCAUUCUGCUUGAGAAAAAUGCUGAGCAGUACUAUAUUUUUUCCUGGUAUGGCUCUGACAUCUACAUCCCUGAGGUUUCCAUCAGCUGUUCUGGUUCUCUCUUCCAACGGGACCCAAUAAAUAUCAAAGACUGUUCCCUGGGCUAGAAGUUGGUAUUUCCAGCUGGGGGUGUAACUCAGUGGAAGAGCACUUGCCUAGCAUGUACGAGACCCUGGGUUUGAUCCCUGGUGCAAAAAAAAAAAAAAAGAAAAGAAAAAAGAAGUUAGUACUUCCUCUUUUCUCAGCCAAGAUGUCCCAGCCCAUGCUUGUUUUAGGCCAAGAUUCUUAAAUUCAUUUGAUAUGGCCACUUGCUCUUGAAUUUGUCCUAUCUUGGGUCUCAGUUUCCUCUAAGUAAUGCAUUUUUAUAUUUUAGAGUCUGGAAAGUAAUCCUCCUUGACAGGAAAGAUGAAACUAAGGUCAAAAUGGAGUUUGGAGGAGUCCUGCUAAUGUCAUAUUGCCAAGGGCUGUGCUCUUUUUGUUCUGGCUCUGAAUUAUUUUUGUUGGUUUUAACAUUUAAAAUUUUCUUUUUUAAACCUCAUUUUGGACUUAGGUCUUCUUGGCCUUUUUUUUCACAGCUCCUUGUCACAACUCUGCAAGUAGCACUGAGCUGUCCCUCUUCCCAUAUAUUAUAUAAAAGAACCUCACAGAAUUCUCUUUCCUCAGCUCCAUCUCCGACUCCCCUUCCUCACCUGUUUCCUCACUUGUUUGUUUGCAGAUUACACCGUUAGAAUUUCACUUUAGAGCACCAUUCAUUCCUUUUGUGAUCACAACAGAGGUUCUUAACCAUAAAAGACUCUUGUUAGGCAUAUUUAUGCUCUUUUUCCAAGAAGAGAGUUUGCACUUAUCAUAUUUUCCAAAGGGUCAGCGAUCCAAAAAAGGUUAAGAACUUCUGUUUGGAGUCUUUGUGGGAUUCUGUUUAUCUUUGCCCUGAAUGUUUUGACAUUGCAUCUGGUGAGGCCCGUCUUCCUCCCAGGCUGCCAUGGGAGGCAACUCAUCUCGUUCUUUCAGGACUUUUAACUUCCACCCCUUCCUUGCCAUUUCCUGGGGGCACACAGAAGUUAUUUUUAAAAAUUUCUCCUGUGGUCCCACUUUUAGUGGCAUAAGUAUUACCACCAAAUUCCUCUGAAUCUUGUCCCCUCCAUAUUUUUAUUAGUACAUUAUAGUUAUACAUAAUGGUGGAAUUUGCUGUUCCAUACUCAUACACAAACUCCUCUGAAUAUUGUUCCAGACCUUGCUGGAUCUCCAUAGGGCCUGGAUUCCCCAAUUAGAGUGAGGGUACACAGUGUGGUCACUUCUUCAGUCUUCCUUUAUCAGGUUCUAAUAGCUUUUAGUGGGCUUCCUUCCUCAAAUAGGUGUGGUCACUGCCCAUCUUCUUUAUUUUUAUUUUUUUGUGGUACUGAGAAUGGAACCCAGAGUCUCAUGCAUACUAGUCAAGAACUCUACCACUGAGCUGCACCCCCAUUCCCCUGUUUAUCUUUUUUUUUUUUUGUAUU